CGAGUCUUAACUGGGCGUUAAGUUGCAGGGUAUAGACCCGAAACCCGGUGAUCUAGCCAUGGGCAGGUUGAAGGUUGGGUAACACUAACUGGAGGACCGAACCGACUAAUGUUGAAAAAUUAGCGGAUGACUUGUGGCUGGGGGUGAAAGGCCAAUCAAACCGGGAGAUAGCUGGUUCUCCCCGAAAGCUAUUUAGGUAGCGCCUCGUGAACUCAUCUUCGGGGGUAGAGCACUGUUUCGGCUAGGGGGUCAUCCCGACUUACCAACCCGAUGCAAACUACGAAUACCGAAGAAUGUUAUCACGGGAGACACACGGCGGGUGCUAACGUCCGUCGUGAAGAGGGAAACAACCCAGACCGCCAGCUAAGGUCCCAAAGUCAUGGUUAAGUGGGAAACGAUGUGGGAAGGCCCAGACAGCCAGGAUGUUGGCUUAGAAGCAGCCAUCAUUUAAAGAAAGCGUAAUAGCUCACUGGUCGAGUCGGCCUGCGCGGAAGAUGUAACGGGGCUAAACCAUG
rnacentral:rRNA from 1 species